UAGGCCUCCGUGAAGCCUGGAUUCGAGUAGGCUGGCCAGCCCCAGGAAGAAGGCUGGCAGUCCGAGUGGCCGCCACAGCUCUCUGCAGCAGACCCUCUUCCCAGGCCAGACAGCUCAGCCUUGGCCAGGGAGAAGAGGAAUCCCUUGAGGUGGUUCCCCCCACCCCACCCCCCACCCCCUACAGGUGGCAGGAUACGCAGAUUUGGAUGGUCCAGGAACCGCCUCUGGGAAAGGAACUGAGCGUAUGAAGCCAGACCCCCUGUGGCAGCUGGAGCAUCUGGGGGAGCUUGCUCGGAAGGAGGU